CUUUUUCUCUCAUCACUCUCUCACGAUGGCUUUCUGGAAAAAGAAGAAGAACAACAAACCGAAUCUCUCUCUCUCGGUUUCUCUCACUCGCCAUGGUCUCUCUCGCUCUGCUCAUAGCGAACAACAACAGCAUCUUUUUCGGUUUUCCUCCCUACGAAACAACAACAACGGUGACAAAGCUCUCUCGAUUUCGCUCUUGCUCUAAACGAAAACAACAAGUAAUCAAAAACUCUCACUCGGUUUCACGUCUCUCUCGUUGUGUGAACAAAAACAACAACGAUUUGGCCUCACUCACACUCGCGGUUCUCUCUCUUCAUGAAAAACAACGAAACAGCAACCAGCGGCCAUGGAGGAGAAAUCAGAAGCAGAAUUCUAGGGAACUAAUGUUCAUAGCAGCAGUAAUAUCUUGAGAGUGAGAGUUGGAUUGACUUACCUACGGCAAGGAGGUUUUUGCCGGUUUUGAUGUUGAGGUUCGGUUCUUGCAGGUGAGGGUGUGAUCGCCGGCUGUUGUGUUGAAUCUUUAAAGGCUUUUGAUGAAGGUGAUGCCAUAACACCUCUUUGGAUUGUGGGAGAACUUGAAGAUGGAACUUCAAGUUGUUGGAAGCUUGAAGAUGAAGAUCUUCAAGUAAGGUAUGAAGAACUACCUCUUCCUUCUUUGUAACUAGAAUGCUCACCUCCAAUAGAGAAUCUCUUGGCUUGAGAAUUUCCUCUUGCCAAGAGGUCUAUUGAACAAUAUAUGAUCAAUAGAGAGAAGAGAGAA